rnacentral:misc_RNA from 1 species
AACCUAGCACACCUGCGGUGUGUACCUGCGGAAGGAUCAUUACCGAGUUUACAACUCCCAAACCCCUGUGAACAUACCUAUACGUUGCCUCGGCGGAUCAGCCCGCGCCCUGUAAAACGGGACGGCCCGCCCGAGGACCCUAAACUCUGUUUUUAGUGGAACUUCUGAGUAAAACAAACAAAUAAAUCAAAACUUUCAACAACGGAUCU